rnacentral:misc_RNA from 1 species
CAUUACCGAGUCAUCGCUCCGGCGAGAUUCUCACACCGUGAUGUUUUUUGGAGAAGAAUUUGCUUCGGCGGGACGAGCAGGUUGUCUGUUCCAUUGGUCCUUUGCGGGAUGGAUGAGUGCUCGCCGAAGACCCCGACGCUAUGUGUAGUCAGUCUGAAGAAGAAAAACAAAGCAAAAACUUUCAACAACGGAUCUCUUGGUUCUGGCAUCGAUGAAGAACGCAGCGAAAUGCGAUAAGUAAUGUGAAUUGCAGAAUUUAGUGAAUCAUCGAAUCUUUGAACGCACAUUGCGCCCCCUGGUAUUCCGGGGGGCACACCUGUUCGAGCGCCGUUUAAGCUCUGAGGCUAUGCCUUGCGAUGGCCGACCCUGGAUUAGGGGUGGCUGAAAUGCAGAAGGAGCCGAGCGCACCUAGCCUAGUAGCACAAUACGAGGUGUGGGUGGUGCAUUGGUGGCCGAUGCGAAAGAACUUGGCCUCGAAUCAGGUGGGGAUACCCGCUGAACUUAAGCAUAUCAAUAA